GAUGAAGAACGCAGCGAAAUGCGAUAAGUAAUGUGAAUUGCAGAAUUCAGUGAAUCAUCGAAUCUUUGAACGCACAUUGCGCCCGCCAGUAAUCUGGCGGGCAUGCCUGUUCGAGCGUCAUUUCAACCAUCAAGCCCCAGGCUUGUGUUGGGGACCUGCGGCUGCCGCAGGCCCUGAAAACCAGUGGCGGGCUCGCUGUCACACCGGGCGUAGUAGAUUUUAUCUCGCUCAGGGCGUGCUGCGGGUUCCGGCCGUUAAAAAGCCUUUUUUACCCAAGGUUGACCUCGGAUCAGGUAGGAAGACCCGCUGAACUUAAGCAUAUCAAUAAGCGGAGGA
rnacentral:misc_RNA from 1 species